rnacentral:lncRNA from 10 species
GUCCCUAAGCUGGGCAGGCAGGUGUGCCAGCAGCCCACCUUCCAGAGCCUACCUUCACGCCUCACAAGGAAACAGCUUGGAAAGGACUGGGGCAUACCAACAUGUUUACGGAAUCAGCCUUUGGCAUUGGAAUAGAUCCAGUUUCAAAUCUCUAGGCCACUCCAUCAUUUAACGGAUAGAGGUUGGCCAGGCGCAGUGGCUCAUGCCUGUAAUCCCAGCACUUUGGGAAGCUGAGGCAGGCGGAUCAUCUGAGGUCAGGAGUUUGAGACCAGCCUGGCCAACAUGGCAAAACCCCAUCUCUACUGAAACUACAUAAAAUUAGCCAGGCAUGGUGUAGCCAUGCGCCUGUAGCCACAGCUACUCAGGAGGCUGAGGCAGGAGGAACACUUGAACCUGGGAGAUGGAGGCUGCAGUGAGUUGAGAUUGCAUCAUUGAACUCCAGCCUGGGCAACAGAGCAAGACUCCAUCUCAAAAAAAAUUUUAAAAUAAAGGAUAGAGGUAGAAGAGGACUAAUCAAAGGGCAAAGAGGAGAAUCCAGAAGGCCUGGUGUUAAGAAAGCUAGGAAAAGUGAUAUUGCCUGUUGCAAAAUGGACAGAGAAGGCAGGUAAGUGGACGGGGUCAUGAGGGAAUCAACUGCAGGAGCUCAGCUGUGAAGGAGAAGAGAGCAUUUUAUUUUAAAGGAAGAUUACUGACCAUGUUCCCAU